AUUGAACGCUGGCGGCAGGCCUAACACAUGCAAGUCGAGCGGAGCGGCGGACGGGUGAGUAAGGCCUAGGAAUCUGCCUGGGAGUGGGGGAUAACGACCGGAAACGGGCGCUAAUACCGCAUACUAGCAGAUGAGCCUAGGUCGGAUUAGCUAGUGGGGGGGGUAAAGGCCUACCAAGGCGACGAUCCGUAGCUGGGCUGAGAGGAUGAUCAGUCACACGGGAACUGAGACACGGCCCAGACUCCUACGGGAGGCAGCAGUGGGGAAGAUUGGACAAUGGGCGAAAGCCUGACCCAGCCAUGCCGCGUGAGUGAAGAAGGUCUUCGGAUUGUAAAGCACUUUAAGUUGGGAGGCGUUACCUACAGAAUAAGCACCGGCUAACUUCGUGCCAGCAGCCGCGGUAAUUC
rnacentral:rRNA from 1 species